UACGUAGGGUGCGAGCGUUAAUCGGAAUUACUGGGCGUAAAGCGUGCGCAGGCGGUUUGCUAAGACCGAUGUGAAAUCCCCGGGCUUAACCUGGGGAACUGCAUUGGUGACUGGCAGGCUAGAGUAUGGCAGAGGGGGGGGUAGAAUUCCCACGUGUAGCAGUGAAAUGCGUAGAGAUGUGGAGGAAUACCGAUGGCGAAGGCAGCCCCC
rnacentral:rRNA from 1 species